rnacentral:lncRNA from 1 species
GGCUUCAGCGGGCUAGGCUGGUUUGGCAGGACAAAGCUCUCUCAAUAACAAUUAAAAAAAAAAAAAAAGAAGCAUGGAGCUCGGGUGCCCUGAGUUGCUGGAACCCCCAGAAGAUAUCUUCUCGACAGGAUCUUUCCUGGAGCUGGGAUUUAAUGGUCCCCCGUCAAAGGUGCCGGUAACCACGCUACAAGAACAGGGGCUGCAAAGCCGGGCGAUGAGGAGAGGCUGUAGCCGAGGUUGUUCAGUGGAAGUGGGAGUUAGGUUGAAAACUAACUAGAAUCCUUAAGUCGCCACAAGGAAAGAGUUCUGAUAAUAGAACCACGAAAUAGACGUGUGUUGUAAGUCUUUCUAUGUCCGAGAAGGAAAAGCACCAAAAUGGAAGCGUUAAGGAUCCGAGACGCUGUCAGGUAAGACUUCCAGAGUUCUCUGCAGACGUGCGGACCCUCUCCUUCUAUAGGGCCUUCAGAAGAGCGAGUCUGAUGAUUUCCUGAACCUCUUUAUCGAUCCCAAUAUGAUACGCUGCUCAGAAACAUCUCCUGGUAGUGACAGUGGGGUCUCUGAAGAUCCUGGCUCCCCUGCCCCACAGGCACCCAGUUCCCCAGCCCUCUAUGAAGUUGUCUAUGAGGCAGGAGCCCUACAGGGAACCCAGCGGGAAGCUGGGCCAACCUUCGGACUCAUCUCCAUCCAGAUAG